rnacentral:rRNA from 1 species
AAGAGACAGCAGCAGCCGCGGUAAUACGGAGGGUGCAAGCGUUAUCCGGAUUUAUUGGGUUUAAAGGGUCCGUAGGCGGAUCUGUAAGUCAGUGGUGAAAUCUCACAGCUUAACUGUGAAACUGCCAUUGAUACUGCAGGUCUUGAGUAAAUUUGAAGUGGCUGGAAUAAGUAGUGUAGCGGUGAAAUGCAUAGAUAUUACUUAGAACACCAAUUGCGAAGGCAGGUCACUAAGAUUUAACUGACGCUGAUGGACGAAAGCGUGGGGAGCGAACAGGAUUAGAGACCCCCGUAGUCCCUGUCUCUUAUAC